rnacentral:pre_miRNA from 7 species
AUGUGGAAGUGUAAGACCCCCUUUUGGGGACCCCCACUCUAGUCUUGGGAGUGAGAGAGCACCCAAAGAAACACAAGAAUCC